GAAAGACCUGGCUGACAUGUUCCAGAGACUGGAGAAUUCCUUCAGCGAAAAAUUACAAGCUGUAAAUGCAGACAUCCAGCAACUGGGAACCAGGGUACAGGCCCUAGAGGAUGCGGAGGAGCUCUCUGAAAGACAGUGGUCGGAGUGCCACACUACACAGAAGCUUCAUUCAGAAGCUUUAAUACAUCUGCAACGGAAACUGGACGAUGUGGAUAACCGGGGAAGGCGCAACAACUUGCGGGUAGGAAGAGUACCAGAAAGCCAGGAAGGCUCUACGGAAAACCCCAUACAGGUACUAACUACCCUCUUUAACC